CUUGCUCUUCUGGCUGACGAGUGGCGGACGGGUGAGUAAUGUAUCGGAAUCUGCUCGAUCGUGGGGGAUAACUACUGGAAACUUAGGCUAAUACCGCAUACCGUCUACGGAUGAAAGCACGGGAUCUUCGGACCUUGCGCGAUUGAAUGAACCCAUGUCGGAUUACCUAGUAGGUGGGGUAAAGGCUCACCUAGGCGACGAUCCCUAGCUGGUCUGAGAGGAUGAUCAGCCACACUGGAACUGAGACACGGCCCAGACUCCUACGGGAGGCAGCAGUGGGGAAUAUUGAACAAUGGGCGCAAGCCUGAUGCAGCCAUGCCGCGUGUAUGAAGAAGGCCUUCGGGUUGUAAAGCCCUUUUGUUGGGAAAGAAGGCGUACUGGCUAAUACCCUUAUGAUAUGACGUUACCCACAGAAUAAGCACCGGCUAACUUCGUGCCAGCAGCCGCGGUAAUACGGAAGGGUGCAAGCGUUACUCGGAAUUACUGGGCGUAAAGCGUACGUAGGGGGGUCGAUUAAGUCCGAUGUGAAAGCCCUGAGGCUUAACCUGUGGAACUGCGUCUGGAUACUGGGUCAACUAGAGAUCUUGUAAUAGAGGUAGUAGGAAUUCCCUGGUGUUAACGCGUGAAAUGUGGUAUAGAUGUAGGGAGGAGUAAUCCCAUGGGGGAAAGACGGCCUCCCUGUUACUCACCACUGGAGGAC
rnacentral:rRNA from 1 species